rnacentral:misc_RNA from 1 species
AAAGUCGUAACAAGGUUUCCGUAGGUGAACCUGCGGAAGGAUCAUUAAACGUAUCCACGUAUAACCCAAUGCGAACUCGUUUUCACAACAAACAUGUGAGUGGUGGCGCUUGAGAUAGCGUGAGUGCACAGGUGAGUAGUUUCUUUCGGGAGAUUACUCAGAGCUCUGCUUAUCGAGUCACGUGUCACAUUGUUUCUUUAUCCUGUGAUGUUAUUUCACUUAAACUCUUGUAAUUUCUUGAUGAACUCUGCGUCAGCUUAACGGUUGACGUGAAUAAAAAUGAAACUUAAGCACAACUCUUAACAACGGAUAUCUAGGCUCUC